ACGAGCGAGAGUUAGCUCGCACUCUGCCAGUUCGGCCACGUCUUUCAGACCACUCGCUGCUUUUACGGUCUGCGUUAGAAUAUUUUAAAACGUAAAAAUAUACAUAAACACCGUGCGUUACACUACGGUGUGAUCAUAAAGACAAUGAAUUGACAAGUGACGUGUCACGUGGCUCAGCGAUCUGUCAAAAAUGAGAGGGACGGCAGUACAGAGAGAAAGAGACAGAGAUAUACAAAACGAUCGCGUGUCCAGACCUUCUACGUUGUGACUGGUGUUUGAGGAGGUGCGGGGGACGUAUUGAAGGGGGGGCAGCCAUACAAAAAUAUGCAAAGCGCGAGCCGGGCCCUUGACACGAGCCUACUUCAAGACUUCAUUAUCCCAAACAAUGCCCGUUAAAAGUCACGCACACAGCGACCGCUGUUUACAAACAAGAGGUUAGCGUGUGUGAGUUACGAGAGAUUGAAGAUGUGCUAACCGACUUAAUAAUGCGUCUCAGUGGAAUUCAAGUAUACGUACAGGAGGGCUGAGCACCAUAUAUAAACAUAGUGAGCUGGGCGUACUGCGUCUGUGUGCGUGACGUGACGCCGACUCGGUGCCGCUGUGUGGGUGAGACGUGACGGUACGCGGCGCGUGUGUGUGUGUGUGUGAGGAAUGUUCACAGGAGGAUGUACAGCGGUUCAUUAUUUUAGAUACGUUAUGACGUCAUAUAGAUAGCAGUUAAUAUUAAUUUAAUCGAUUAAUAAGGAGGGUUGUACUUGUGAAUUAAAUUUUAUGAUUAAUUUAUACUAAAUUGUGUUGUUUUUUGGCUUGUAUUUCCCAAAUCUUAAACCGUGAAUGUAUUUUUUGUUGCUUUCAAAGAACAUUUUAUGUAGAUUUUCAAAGUUUCUUUGCGAUUCAAGACAAAGUAUUAAACUACAAACUGCUAAACUGGUAUUAUCUGUUUCCAGGGGAUUCCAGAUGUAUCCUUCCACUGUUUCGCACAGAAGAUCAUUCAUCACACCUGUAUA